rnacentral:rRNA from 1 species
UGCCAGCCGCCGCGGUAAUACGGAGGGUGCAAGCGUUACUCGGAAUCACUGGGCGUAAAGAGCGUGUAGGCGGGUUAAUAAGUCAGAUGUGAAAGCCAAUAGCUCAACUAUUGAACUGCAUUUGAAACUGUAAACCUAGAAUAUGGGAGAGGUAGAUGGAAUUUCUGGUGUAGUGGUAAAAUCCGUAGAGAUCAGAAGGAAUACCGAUUGCGAAGGCGGCCCCCUGGGAUAAUACUGACGCUCAGACACGAAAGCGUGGGGAGCAAACAGGAUUAGAUA